rnacentral:rRNA from 1 species
GAUGAACGCUGGCGGCGUGCUUAACACAUGCAAGUCGAACGGUGAAGGCGGAGCUUGCUCUGCUGGAUCAGUGGCGAACGGGUGAGUAACACGUGAGCAAUCUGCCCCUGACUCUGGGAUAAGCGCUGGAAACGGCGUCUAAUACUGGAUACGAGCUGCGAAGGCAUCUUCAGCAGCUGGAAAGAAUUUCGGUCAGGGAUGAGCUCGCGGCCUAUCAGCUUGUUGGUGAGGUAAUGGCUCACCAAGGCGUCGACGGGUAACCGGCCUGAGAGGGUGACCGGCCACACUGGGACUGAGACACGGCCCAGACUCCUACGGGAGGCAGCAGUGGGGAAUAUUGCACAAUGGGCGAAAGCCUGAUGCAGCAACGCCGCGUGAGGGACGACGGCCUUCGGGUUGUAAACCUCUUUUAGCAGGGAAGAAGCGAAAGUGACGGUACCUGCAGAAAAAGCGCCGGCUAACUACGUG